UACGAAGGGGGCUAGCGUUGCUCGGAAUCACUGGGCGUAAAGGGUGCGUAGGCGGGUUUUUAAGUCAGGGGUGAAAUCCUGGAGCUCAACUCCAGAACUGCCUUUGAUACUGAAGAUCUUGAGUUCGGGAGAGGUGAGUGGAACUGCGAGUGUAGAGGUGAAAUUCGUAGAUAUUCGCAAGAACGCCAGUGGCGAAGGCGGCUCACUGGCCCGAUACUGACGCUGAGACGCGAAAGCGUGGGGAGCGAACAGGA
rnacentral:rRNA from 1 species